rnacentral:rRNA from 1 species
AACGAACGCUGGCGGCAGGCUUAACACAUGCAAGUCGAGCGCGGGGCUUCGGCCCUGAGCGGCGGACGGGUGAGUAACGCGUGGGAACGUGCCCUUUCUUUCGGAAUAGCCCUGGGAAACUGGGAGUAAUGCCGGAUACGCCCCUUUCGAGUGGAUCGGGAGGGGGAAAGAUUUAUCGGGGAAGGAUCGGCCCGCGUCGGAUUAGGUAGUUGGUGGGGUAACGGCCCACCAAGCCGACGAUCCGUAGCUGGUUUGAGAGGAUGAUCAGCCACACUGGGACUGAGACACGGCCCAGACUCCUACGGGAGGCAGCAGUGGGGAAUCUUGGACAAUGGGGGCAACCCUGAUCCAGCCAUGCCGCGUGAGCGAUGAAGGCCUUAGGGUUGUAAAGCUCUUUCAGCGGGGAAGAUAAUGACGGUACCCGCAGAAGAAGCCCCGGCUAACUCCGUGCCAGCCGCUGUAAUAC